UGCUAGAGAUAUGCUAGCAACAUGCUAAUCAUGCUAAAAUCAUGCUAGCAACAUGCUAGUCGCAUGCUAAUCAUGCUAAAAUCAUGCUAGCAACAUGCUAAUCAUGCUAAAAUCAUGCUAGCAACAUGCUAGUCGCAUACUAAUCAUGCUAAAAUCAUGCUAGCAACAUGCUAAUCAUGCUAAAAUCAUGCUAGCAACAUGCUAAUCAUGCUAAAAUCAUGUUAGCAACAUGCUAGUAGUAAUGCUAAUCAUGCUAAAAUCAUGCUAGCAACAUGCUAAUCAUGCUAAGUACAUGCUUGUCACAUGGUAGUCACUUGCUUGUAAUGCUAGCAAUAUGUUAAUCACUGUCAUUUUUAUACUUCUUAAACUUUUAAAUCUUUUUAAACUUUUAAACUUUUCACAUUUUCAAACUUUUCAAACUUUUCAAACUUUCUAAACUUUCUAAACUUUCUAAACUUUUCAAACUUUCUGGUCAGGCUUUCUCAAGCCAACUUAAAGUUUGUCUUGACGAACUUUUUUAUCUAGUUAUUAUUAUUAUUCUUCUGAGCCAAAUUUUAAACACUAUCUCCUCCUAGAGCUUUCAAGCUAGAACCACCAAACUCGGGUCAGACCUUCAGACUGGUCUGACUCGGGUUGCUAUAUCUUUUCUAACUGAUUCUGCUUAUGGUUUUCGUAAACCAGACUACCAAAACCACCUUAAAUCCCAUAGACUUUCAUUGCGGGGGUACAAACUUUUGAAAAAUAAGGCUUAUAAUAUAUUUAAGCUGUCUACUACCAGGGCAAACCUUAAAAACUCUCUACUGAGAAUACAGCUAAAACCAGCCUAAGCUGAUCAGUUGUUUUGGCUAGUCUCCCAAACUGGUUUUUAAGUGGUUUUGACCACUCUCACGCUGGUCUUAGCUGGGUUUUAGCUGGUUUUUACUGAAUCCACUGUUUUUAGCUGGUUUUUGCCAGAUUCUUAUAGAAACAUGCUAACAACAUGCUAGUUACUCACUAAUCAGACUAGAAACAUACUUCUAACAAGUUUUAAAGUGGUUUUGGCCACUGUCACGCUGGCCUUAGCUGGUCUUAGCUGGUUUUAGGUGGUUUUCUUUACUGAAUCAACUGGUUUUAGCUAGAUUAUCAUAGAAACAUGUUAAUACCAUGUUAGUAACUUGCUAAUCAGACUAGAAACAUACUUCUAACAUGGUUUAAAGUGGUUUUGGCCACUGUCAAGCUGGCUUUAGCUGGUCUUAGCUGGUUUUAGGUGGUUUUCUUUAAUGAAUCAACUGGUUUUAGCUAGAUUAUCAUAAAAACAUAUUAACAACAUGUUAGUAAUUUGCUAAUCAGUCUAGAAACAUACUUCUAACAUGGUUUAAAGUGGUUUUGGCCACUGUCAAGCUGGCUUUAGCUGGUCUUAGCUGGUUUUAGGUGGUUUUCUUUACUGAAUCAACUGGUUUUAGCUAGAUUAUCAUAGAAACAUGUUAACAACAUGUUAGUAACUUGAUAAUCAGACUAGAAACAUACUUCUAACAUGGUUUAAAGUGGUUUUGGCCACUGUCAAGCUGGCUUUAGCUGGUCUUAGCUGGUUUUAGGUGGUUUUCUUUACUGAAUCAACUGGUUUUAGCUAGAUUAUCAUAGAAACAUGUUAAUACCAUGUUAGUAACUUGCUAAUCAGACUAGAAACAUACUUCUAACAUGGUUUAAAGUGGUUUUGGCCACUGUCAAGCUGGCUUUAGCUGGUCUUAGCUGGUUUUAGGUGGUUUUCUUUACUGAAUCAACUGGUUUUAACUAGAUUAUCAUAGAAACAUGUUAAUAACAUGCUAGUAACUUGCUAAUCAGACUAGAAACAUACUUCUAACAUGGUUUAAAGUGGUUUUGGCCACUGUCAAGCUGGUCUUAGCUGGUUUCUAACUGAAUCAACUGGUUUUAGCUCGAUUAUCAUAGAAACAUGUUAACAACAUGUUAGUAACUUGAUAAUCAUGUCAAAAACAUGCUUUUAACAUGGUUUUAAAGUAGUUUUGGCCACUGUCACGCUGGUCUUAGCUGGUUUCUAACUUAAUCAACUGGUUUUACCUGGAUUAGCAUAGAAACAUGUUAGUCACUUGCUAGCCAUGCUAGCCACAUGCUAGUCACAUUUUAAUCAUGCUAGCAACAUGCUAGUUGUAUACUAAUCAUUCUAAAAACAUGCUAGAGACAUACUAGCAACAUGCUAAUCAUGCUACAAACAUGCUAACGACAUGCUAGUCACUUGCUAAUCAUGUUAAUAAAAUGCUAGCAACAUGAAAAUCAUGCUAGAGACAUGCUAGCCACAUGCUAAUCAUGCUACUAAAAUGUUAACAACAUGCUAAUCAUGCUACAAACAUGCUAGCAACAUGCUAAUCAUGCUAGCAAAAUGUU